UUAAAUUGAAGAGUUUGAUCAUGGCUCAGAUUGAACGCUGGCGGCAGGCCUAACACAUGCAAGUCGAACGGUAACAGGAAGAAGCUUGCUUCUUUGCUGACGAGUGGCGGACGGGGGAGUAAUGUCUGGGAAACUGCCUGAUGGAGGGGGAUAACUACUGGAAACGGUAGCUAAUACCGCAUAACGUCGCAAGACCAAAGAGGGGGACCUUCGGGCCUCUUGCCAUCGGAUGUGCCCAGAUGGGAUUAGCUAGUAGGUGGGGUAACGGCUCACCUAGGCGACGAUCCCUAGCUGGUCUGAGAGGAUGACCAGCCACACUGGAACUGAGACACGGUCCAGACUCCUACGGGAGGCAGCAGUGGGGAAUAUUGCACAAUGGGCGCAAGCCUGAUGCAGCCAUGCCGCGUGUAUGAAGAAGGCCUUAGGGUUGUAAAGUACUUUCAGCGGGGAGGAAGGGAGUAAAGUUAAUACCUUUGCUCAUUGACGUUACCCGCAGAAGAAGCACCGGCUAACUCCGUGCCAGCAGCCGCGGUAAUACGGAGGGUGCAAGCGUUAAUCGGAAUUACUGGGCGUAAAGCGCACGCAGGCGGUUUGUUAAGUCAGAUGUGAAAUCCCCGGGCUCAACCUGGGAACUGCAUCUGAUACUGGCAAGCUUGAGUCUCGUAGAGGGGGGUAGAAUUCCAGGUGUAGCGGUGAAAUGCGUAGAGAUCUGGAGGAAUACCGGUGGCGAAGGCGGCCCCCUGGACGAAGACUGACGCUCAGGUGCGAAAGCGUGGGGAGCAAACAGGAUUAGAUACCCUGGUAGUCCACGCCGUAAACGAUGUCGACUUGGAGGUUGUGCCCUUGAGGCGUGGCUUCCGGAGCUAACGCGUUAAGUCGACCGCCUGGGGAGUACGGCCGCAAGGUUAAAACUCAAAUGAAUUGACGGGGGCCCGCACAAGCGGUGGAGCAUGUGGUUUAAUUCGAUGCAACGCGAAGAACCUUACCUGGUCUUGACAUCCACGGAAGUUUUCAGAGAUGAGAAUGUGCCUUCGGGAACCGUGAGACAGGUGCUGCAUGGCUGUCGUCAGCUCGUGUUGUGAAAUGUUGGGUUAAGUCCCGCAACGAGCGCAACCCUUAUCCUUUGUUGCCAGCGGUCCGGCC
rnacentral:rRNA from 1 species